CAUUUCUUCAUAGUGAGGACUGAAUGCUUUUACAAACUGAACGGAUGCGCCACACUUUUUUCAUGGCUGAACUCAUCUUUCCCCACUGACGGUACUUGAGGGCUCCCUUUCUACGUGGACACGUUGACUGCUUCCGAAAAAUUUUGCUCGUGUCCAUUGCUUAAUUAAUUAUCAAUGAAAAGAAAAAGACAGAAGAAUAAGCCAUAUAAGAAGA